CAUUACUAGAGCAAAGGAUAGACAGCGCCCGCGGAGCUCGCUCCCGGGGCCACCCUACUCCGGUAGGGUUUAGAGUCGUCGGGCCUCUCGGAGAAGCUCGGUCCUGAACUCCACCCUUGAAUAAACUACCUUUGUUGCUUUGGCGGGCCGCCUCGUGCCAGCGGCUUCGGCUGUUGAGUGCCCGCCAGAGGACCACAACUCUUGUUUUUAGUGAUGUCUGAGUACUAUAUAAUAGUUAAAACUUUCAACAACGGAUCUCUUGGUUCUGGCAUCGAUGAAGAACGCAGCGAAAUGCGAUAAGUAAUGUGAAUUGCAGAAUUCAGUGAAUCAUCGAAUCUUUGAACGCACAUUGCGCCCUCUGGUAUUCCGGGGGGCAUGCCUGUUCGAGCGUCAUUAUAACCACUCAAGCUCUCGCUUGGUAUUGGGGUUCGCGGUUUCGCGGCUCCUAAAAUCAGUGGCGGUGCCUAUCGGCUCUACGCGUAGUAAUACUCCUCGCGAUUGAGUCCGGUAGGUCUACUUGCCAGCAACCCCUAAUUUUUUAAGGUUGACCUCGGAUCAGGUAGGGAUACCCGCUGAACUUAAGCAUAUCAAUAAGCGGAGGAAAAGAAACCAACAGGGAUUACCUCAGUAACGGCGAGUGAAGCGGUAACAGCUCAAAUUUGAAAGCUGGCUCUUUUAGGGUCCGCGUUGUAAUUUGUAGAAGAUGCUUCGGGUGUGGCCCC
rnacentral:rRNA from 1 species